UAUUCAAUUCAGGGCUAUGGAUAUAGAAGAAGCUCAAGAGCACACAACACAUUCACCAACUUACCUUUACAGAUGACCCUGAUCUUGAGAAUACUUUGAUCUACAAUCUUUCCAAGUCAUGAAAAUAAUGGGGGUUUUGGGCUUUGAAAAUGGAGGUAACUUAUUGGAGAAGUGGUUACAGGAAUGUUUUGUUCAAAUUCAUUUGCAAGCCUAUAGUGGGAAAGGGAAAGGUUAUGAAUCGAUGUCAGAUGCCCCCAUCUACUAAAGAUGAAGAGUUAGUUCUAGUAAGUUUUAUUGUUAUUACUGUUAAUUUGUUAUUAAUAGAAAUUGUGUUUUUAAUGGUCAA